GUGAGUAACACGUGGGCAAUCUGCCCUUCACUCUGGGACAAGCCCUGGAAACGGGGUCUAAUACCGGAUAACACUCUGUCCCGCAUGGGACGGGGUUAAAAGCUCCGGCGGUGAAGGAUGAGCCCGCGGCCUAUCAGCUUGUUGGUGGGGUAAUGGCCUACCAAGGCGACGACGGGUAGCCGGCCUGAGAGGGCGACCGGCCACACUGGGACUGAGACACGGCCCAGACUCCUACGGGAGGCAGCAGUGGGGAAUAUUGCACAAUGGGCGAAAGCCUGAUGCAGCGACGCCGCGUGAGGGAUGACGGCCUUCGGGUUGUAAACCUCUUUCAGCAGGGAAGAAGCGAAAGUGACGGUACCUGCAGAAGAAGCGCCGGCUAACUACGUGCCAGCAGCCGCGGUAAUACGUAGGGCGCAAGCGUUGUCCGGAAUUAUUGGGCGUAAAGAGCUCGUAGGCGGCUUGUCACGUCGGAUGUGAAAGCCCGGGGCUUANCCCCGGGUCUGCAUUCGAUACGGGCUAGCUAGAGUGUGGUAGGGGAGAUCGGAAUUNCUGGUGUAGCGGUGAAAUGCGCAGAUAUCAGGAGGAACACCGGUGGCGAAGGCGGAUCUCUGGGCCAUUACUGACGCUGAGNAGNNAAGCGUGGGGAGCGAACAGGAUAGAUACCCUGGUAGUCCACGCCGUAACGUNGGAACUAGGUGUUGGCGACNUNCCCGUCGUCGGUGCCNCANCUAACGCAU
rnacentral:rRNA from 1 species